rnacentral:rRNA from 1 species
AUACGUAGGUGGCAAGCGUUGUCCGGAUUUAUUGGGCGUAAAGCGAGCGCAGGCGGUUCUUUAAGGCUGAUGUGAAAGCCCCCGGCUCAACCGGGGAGGGUCAUUGGAAACUGGAGGACUUGAGUGCAGAAGAGGAGAGUGGAAUUCCAUGUGUAGCGGUGAAAUGCGUAGUAAUAUGGAGGAACACCAGUGGCGAAGGCGGCUCCCUGGUCUGUAACUGACGCUGAGGCUCGAAAGCGGGGGGAGCAAACAGGAUUAGAUACCCUGGUAGUCCACGCCGUAAACGAUGAGUGCUAAGUGUUGGAGGGUUUCCGCCCUUCAGUGCUGCAGCUAACGCAUUAAGCACUCCGCCUGGGGAGUACGGCCGCAAGGCUGAAACUCAAAGGAAUUGACGGGG